GGGUAGGUAGUCCCGUAGGGAGCGGGGACGGUCUGUAAAACCGCUGGCCUUGUUGCCCCUGUGGGUUCGACUCCCACCCUACCCAC
rnacentral:tRNA from 1 species